GAUGAACGCUGGCGGCGUGCCUAAUACAUGCAAGUCGAGCGAACGGACGAGAAGCUUGCUUCUCUGAUGUUAGCGGCGGACGGGUGAGUAACACGUGGAUAGCCUACCUAUAAGACUGGGAUAACUUCGGGAAACCGGAGCUAAUACCGGAUAAUAUUUUGAACCGCAUGGUUCAAAAGUGAAAGACGGUCUUGCUGUCACUUAUAGAUGGAUCCGCGCUGCAUUAGCUAGUUGGUAAGGUAACGGCUUACCAAGGCAACGAUGCAUAGCCGACCUGAGAGGGGGAUCGGCCACACUGGAGCUGAGACACGGUCCAGACUCCUACGGGAGGCAGCAGUAGGGAAUCUUCCGCAAUGGGCGAAAGCCUGACGGAGCAACGCCGCGUGAGUGAUGAAGGUCUUCGGAUCGUAAAACUCUGUUAUUAGUGAAGAACAUAUGUGUAAGUAACUGUGCACAUCUUGACGGUACCUAAUCAGAAAGCCACGGCUAACUACGUG
rnacentral:rRNA from 1 species